rnacentral:rRNA from 1 species
GGAACAGGGUAUCAAAGAGGGUGAUAAUCCCGUACUUGACACAAUCAUCAGUGCUCUGUGAUACGCUCUCUACGAGUCGAGUUGUUUGGGAAUGCAGCUCAAAAUGGGUGGUAAAUUCCAUCUAAGGCUAAAUAUUGGCGAGAGACCGAUAGCGAACAAGUACCGUGAGGGAAAGAUGAAAAGCACUUUGGAAAGAGAGUUAAACAGUACGUGAAAUUGUUAAAAGGGAAACGAUUGAAGUCAGUCGUGUUCAUUGGAUUCAGCUAGUUCUUCUAGUCUACUUCUUUUGAACGGGUCAACAUCAGUUUUGUCCGGUGGAUAAAGGUAUUAGGAAUGUGACUUCCUCGGAAGUGUUAUAGCCUAGUAUCACAUACACUGGGGGAGACUGAGGA